AAAUGAGAAACAUAGCUUGAUUUGUAAUUCUUGGAUUAUGAGCCUAUUUGGUUACUACAGUGAGUGCAAUACUUUGUGCUCUUCGAGAGAGAGAGUUUUUAUUUCUAGGUUUUAGAAAUCAUCUAUCUUUUAUAUCUUUGUAUUGUUGCUGAGGAUUUGACGAGUUGGGGAAGCAGACAGCAAUUGAAGAAAGCCUUAUACUCAUUCCUUAUCUUGUGGUGACUGGGCAAUAAGUGUGCAUUUCCUUUAUAUCUGUGUGUGGUCUGUUCUGUUUAUUUUUUAUUUUUCAAGCAAAUGAGUUGCUGCAU